GGCAUGCAAGUCGUACGAAUCCCCGCAAGGGGGGAAGUGGCGAAAGGGGCAGUAAGGCAUGGGUGACGUACCUCGGGUUUGGACAUAGCCCUCAAAGAUGGGGGGUAAUAUCCAGCGAUGUCGCGAGACCAAAGCUUCGGCGACCCGAGAGCGGCCCAUGUGAUAUUAGCUUGUUGGUGGGGUAACGGCUCACCAAGGCGAAAAUGUCUAGCGGGUGUGAGAGCACGACCCGCGCCAUUGGCACUGAGACACUGGCCAGACACCUACGGGUGGCUGCAGUCGAGGAUCUUCGGCAAUGGGCGAAAGCCUGACCGAGCGAUGCCGCGUGAAUGAUGAAGGCCUUCGGGUUGUAAAGUUCAAAGGGGAGGAGAAAGGCGCAAGCUCGAUCGAUUCCCAGUAAGCACGGGCUAAGUUCGUGCCAGCAGCCGCGGUAAGACGAACCGUGCAAACGUUGUUCGGAAUCACUGGGCUUAAAGGGAGCGUAGGCGGUCGUGUAAGUCCGUGGUGAAAUCCUCCGGCUCAACCGGAGAACUGCCUCGGAAACUAUGCGUCUAGAAUGAGGUAGGGGCAUGCGGAACGGAUGGUGGAGCGGUGAAAUGCGUUGAUAUCAUUCGGAACUCCGGUGGCGAAGGCGGCAUGCUGGACCUUUAUUGACGCUGAGGCUCGAAAGCCAGGGGAGCAAACGGGAUUAGAUACCCCGGUAGUCCUGGCCCUAAACGA
rnacentral:rRNA from 1 species